AUCCACGGCCUUGCUACUCUGAACAUGCCCCAUUUCGUCAGAUCUCAGAAGCUAAGCAGGAUCAGGCCUGGUUAGUACUUGGAUGGGAGACCACCUAAGAAUACCAGGUGCUGUAAGCU
ensembl:rRNA 5S_rRNA 5S ribosomal RNA